AACAAUUUACUUCUCAAUCUAAAAAAACAGCUAACACACUAACAUGUACAUAUUCAAAUUAAUUUGGACCUUGCACUACAACACAAUUAGGUUAUAGGGACACAUGUUUGGGAUACUUUUGAGUAAGUAUCCCAUUUAUACUAAAACUUAAAAACACAUCUACUAAUGCCUAAAUAUAAAGCCCAAUCCAACCAAAAAUAAAAGAUUACUCUACUCAACCCACCACACCCAGUCCAUUUGGCCCGAUUACAAACAGAAAAGAAAAAAAAAAGAAAAAUCAAUUACCAUCUUUUCUUCUCUCUUCACUCAAUCCACUGAAAUUCUAGACGAAGAGCCUUUACUGUCGUCCUCCUCCGCCACCGCAGCCAACGAGAUAGAGUUUCGGCAGUUGCUAAAUCCUUAAAUAAGUGUUGGUAAAUUAGCAGCACUCUUUUAGGUUAUAGCGACACUCUUUAACUGUCACUAUAUACCUAGCGACCCCACAUAUAGCAACACUUUUUAAAAGUGUCGGUAAUUUUAGUUAGCAGCACUUUUUUGACAUGUACCUGCAUUUAAAAGUGUCGCUAUAGACCGUUUUUAUUGUAGUGUUGUAUUUAGCAUUACUAGAAAAUCAUUAUCCUAAACCUGCAACGACUCCAUACCAAUUCAUUUAAUUAAGUAAAAAGCUUAGCUAGGCCUGGAUUUUUUUUAAAUACAAUUUUGUGUAUUAAAAAAUAUACCGAGUAAAUAGUGGAUUGCUUGUAAUCUUUCAAGGUCAGUACAUGACAAUAAAAAAUAAAAAAUUGAAAGUAACUCUAUCAUUUAAAUAAAUAAAUAAAUAAAUAAAUAUUUUUUCGAACACAUCAAAUUAAAUAGAAUUAGUGCCUAAAGAAGUGAAAAAACUGAUAGAUCUUUAUCGGAAUGUAAAAUAACAAUAAAUUAAAUACAUAUCAAAAUUCAGGAUCACCAAUAAAAAUAAAUAACUUGCAGAGCGCCAUAGAGAAGAAAUUUCUGAUCGAUCAACUGCGGAAGUGAGAAGUCUGGUACCGAUAUGAACGUCACCAACCGAACUUGGAUAAUUUGCUUUCUCCUCCUUUCUCAGGCAUUCUCCUGUAUAGUGUGGAACCGAUGGUAAUUUUUUAUCAGAAUGCACAUGAGAAGGUGGCAGGACCAAUACCCGUCUUUAUAUAGAGUUCAGACGACUUCCCAUCAAAGUCUGAUUAGGAUUCUAUAUAAAUUUAAAACGAUGGGAAAGAGAUAAGAUAUAUCAUAUCAAGUAGUUUUAUAACUGUUAGGAUUGAUCUUUAUCUAUAAUAAAUCUAAAGGCUAAAUUACAUAAAACCUCCCUAUCAAAACCCGAUUUUUCACUUUCCCUCCAUAUCAUUUAAAAACUUACACUUUGCCACCCUAAAAAAUAAAAAAUAUUCACAGGGGGUACGAUGCUAAUAGUAUUGAUAAAAUGACCAAAAUGCCUUCUCCCUCUUCCUCUCCUCCCCCAACCCUCCUUUAUUUGUAGAAGGGUAUUUUCGGUAUAAAAGAAUAUAUAAUAAUGGGAUAUAGACGGAACCCUAACGGAACACUGACGGCGUGGUCCAAAGUGAAUAUUUUUUAUUUUUUAGGGGUGCAAAAAUGUAGGAUAUUAAAUGACAAGGAGUGAAAGUGAAAAAUCAAAUUUUGAUAGGGGGGUUUUCUGUAAGUUAGCCAAAUCUAAAUUUGAAUAUGAUUAAUUGAGCCACAUUUAUGAAAAUCCUAACAAUCUCCUACUUGGCUCAUAUUAAUCAUACUCCCGAAUGGAUUUUCUAUAUUUGAAACUUUAUUAUGCAUUUUUGGAAACUUUAUAGUCAAAUACCUUACAACUUACUUGAUCUUUAUCUCAAACUAAAAAACUACAAUGAUAGGAACGAUGGUCAAUCAUCUCUUCAUAUUGAAAAUUUUCUUCCAUAAUUACCAUGUCAUUUUCAUCUCUUAGCCGAGUACUUUAUAUGACGCAACUUUAUGAAUGAACUCAAAACUAUAUGUCCAUUCGUUAAUAGAUAAAAUUUUAUGCUUAUUAAAUGGUUCAACACAGCUGCAUUAAACUUUAGCUUUAUUGAAAAAAGAUAAAUGUUACAACUUUAUACAUCAAAAGAAUUAAUCAAAGCAUACUUCUAACAUGACCUGUAUAUGACCUAGGUGCUAGCCCUUUUGUAACGACCCGACCCGCUAGCAAUAAUAACUCGUUGGGCCCAAACUACCAGCCCAAAAUGCUUAAGCCUAGUUAUUAUGUCUAGCCCAAUCAAGCUUAUAUACUCCCACAUCUAGCCAUAACUAUCCGAUGUGAAACUAUUGGGGUGUCACAGACUCCCCCUGUUUAGACCCUGGCAUCCUCGUCAACCCUAAACACACACACAGCCCAAGAUCACCAGGCAAUGUGAAACUUGUCUCGCUAGCCUUUGUCAUUCCGACCCUGACUUAGCCUAUCAAUUACCGACCCUAGCUUAGUCUGUCAUUCCGACCUUGCCUCAGCCAAGACUCAUCUCACACUUACGGCUGGUGAACUGGCUCUGAUACCAAAUGUAACGACCUGACCCGCUAGCAAUAAUAACUCGUUGGGCUCAAACUACCAACCCAAAAUGCUUAAGCGCAGUUAUUAUGUCUAGCCCAAUCAAACUAUAUACUCUCACAUCUAGCUCAUAACUAUCUGAUGUGAAAUUAUUGAGGUGUCACAUCUUUGGUCAUUGGGUCUACAAUUAUAC
rnacentral:lncRNA from 1 species